rnacentral:rRNA from 1 species
CGCUCUUUGAUAUUGUGGAUAAAGAGUCGAGCCUGCCCAGUGAUAUAUAUUUAACGGCCGCGGUACUCUGACUGUGCAAAGGUAGCAUAAUCAUUUGCCUCAUAAUUGGGGGCUUGUAUGAAGGGUUUGACGAAAACAAUACUGUCUCUUUUUAAUUUUAUAAAAUUUGAUUUUUAGGUGAAGAAGCCUAAAUAAAAUUGAAAGACAAGAAGACCCUAUCGAGCUUGAAAAAAAUCUAUUAAAUUAAAUGGUAAAAUCAAAUGUAUUAGAAAAUUUUAGUUGGGGCGACUUAGGAACAUAUAAAGCUUCCUAUUUUUAGUAUUAAGCAUAUUAGCUAUGAUCCAAAAUUUUUGAUUAAAAAAUUUAGUUACCGUAGGGAUAACAGCAUAAUCUUUUUUGAGAGUUCUUAUCGAAAAAUAGGUUUGUGACCUCGAUGUUGGACUAGAAUAUCCUAAAUGAUGCAAAAGUCUUUAAGGGUUGGUCUGUUCGACCAUUAAUAUUCUACGUGAUCUGAGUUCAGACCGG